rnacentral:rRNA from 1 species
UACAGAGGGUGCGAGCGUUAAUCGGAAUUACUGGGCGUAAAGCGUGCGUAGACGGUUAUUUAAGUCGGAUGUGAAAGCCCCCGGGCUCAACCUGGGAAUUGCAUUCGAGACUGAAUAGCUAGGGUGCGGUAGAGGGAAGCGGAAUUUCCGGUGUAGCGGUGAAAUGCGUAGAUAUCGGAAGGAACAUCAGUGGCGAAAGCGGCUUCCUGGACCAGCACCGACGUUCAGGCACGAAAGCGUGGGGAGCAAACAGG